rnacentral:rRNA from 1 species
CCCUUAGACGUUCUGGGCCGCACGCGCGCUACACUGACCAGUGCAACAAGCAUCCGUCCUUGGCCGACAGGCCCGGGCAAUCUUUGAACGCUGGUCGUGAUGGGGAUAGACUUUUGCAAUUUUUGGUCUUCAACGAGGAAUUCCUAGUAAAAGCAAGUCAUCAACUUGCAUUGAUUACGUCCCUGCCCUUUGUACACACCGCCCGUCGCACCUACCGAUUGAAUGGUCCGGUGAAGCCUCCGGAUUGGCGCGCACCUCGGUGCCGCCGAGAAGUUGGCUAAACCUUACCAUUUAGAGGAAGGUGAAGUCGUAACA